GUGCUCGCUUCUGCAGCACAUAUACUAAAAUUGGAAUGACACAUAGAGGAUUAGCAUGGCCCCUGUGCAAGGAUGACAUGCAAAUUCGUGAAGCGUUCCAUAUUUUU
ensembl:snRNA RNU6-637P RNA, U6 small nuclear 637, pseudogene